GGGGUGAGGUUAGAAGGGAGAGGGCAGGUCAAAGAUGGAGAGGAGAGGUUGACAUGGAGGGGACCUUCCUUUCCAGCCUCUCCUGCUCUGCCUCUGCCUCUGAGUUUCUCCUUCCUUUGGUUUCUCUCCCCCUUUCCUCUCCAUUUCUCUCUUCUCCACUGCCCC
rnacentral:sRNA from 1 species